CACUCCUGCGGGAGGCAGCAGUGGGGAAUAUUGGACAAUGGGGGCAACCCUGAUCCAGCCAUGCCGCGUGAGUGAUGAAGGCCCUAGGGUUGUAAAGCUCUUUUGUGCGGGAAGAUAAUGACGGUACCGCAAGAAUAAGCCCCGGCUAACUUCGUGCCAGCAGCCGCGGUAAUAUGAAGGGGGCUAGCGUUGCUCGGAAUCACUGGGCGUAAAGGGUGCGUAGGCGGGUCUUUAAGUCAGGGGUGAAAUCCUGGAGCUCAACUCCAGAACUGCCUUUGAUACUGAGGAUCUUGAGUCCGGAAGAGGUGAGUGGAACUGCGAGUGUAGAGGUGAAAUUCGUAGAUAUUCGCAAGAACACCAGUGGCGAAGGCGGCUCACUGGUCCGGUACUGACGCUGAGGCACGAAAGCGUGGGGAGCAAACAGGAUUAGAAACCCUAGUAGUCCC
rnacentral:rRNA from 1 species